UAUGUCCUCUAAAGAGCCGUUCGAGACUAGGACGUUGAUAGGUUGGAUGUGGAAGCAUAGUGAUAUGUGAAGCUGACCAAUACUAAUUGCUCGUGAGGCUUGACUAUACAACACCCAAGCAGUUG
rnacentral:rRNA from 1 species